rnacentral:rRNA from 1 species
AUUGAACGCUGGCGGAAUGCUUUACACAUGCAAGUCGAGCGGCAGCACGGGGGCAACCCUGGUGGCGAGCGGCGAACGGGUGAGUAAUACAUCGGAACAUGCCCAGUCGUGGGGGAUAACACUUCGAAAGAAGUGCUAAUACCGCAUACGUCCUGAGGGAGAAAGCGGGGGAUCUUCGGACCUCGCGCGUUUGGAGUGGCCGAUGACAGAUUAGCUAGUUGGGGGGGUAAGGGCCUACCAAAGCAACGAGCUGUAGCUGGUCUGAGAGGAUGAUCAGCCACACUGGGACUGAGACACGGCCCAGACUCCUACGGGAGGCAGCAGUGGGGAAUUUUGGACAAUGGGGGCAACCCUGAUCCAGCCAUUCCGCGUGAGUGAAGAAGGCCUUCGGGUUGUAAAGCUCUUUCGGCAGGAACGAAACGGCGAGCUCUAACAUAGCUUGCUAAUGACGGUACCUGAAGAAGAAGCACCGGCUAACUACGUGCCAGCCGCCGCGGUAAAAC